rnacentral:rRNA from 1 species
UACGUAGGGUCCGAGCGUUGUCCGGAGUUACUGGGCGUAAAGGGCGCGCAGGCGGCGGUGCUGGCCCGGCGUGAAAGCCCCCGGCUCAACCGGGGAGGGUCGUCGGGGACCGCGCCGCUUGAGGGCGGUAGGGGCCGGUGGAAUGCCUGGUGUAGUGGUGAAAUGCGUAGAGAUCAGGCAGAACACCUGGGGCGAAGGCGGCCGGCUGGGCCGACCCUGACGCUGAGGCGCGAAGGCGUGGGGAGCGAACGGG